UAGAAAGGACAGGGUAACUGUGGAGCAGAUAAGUGUGCUGCAUGCCAGUCACACCAUAAGCAACCGUGCUGCCUGUACAGUAUGCAGAGCUGCUCAGAUGACUGGCAGUUGUUGCAAAAAACCUUUCUAGCAUUUCCAAUUAAUGUUUCAUCAUGUGACUGCAUCAAUCACAAGUUUGUGUGUUGUCAAGUCCAAUAAAUGUUGCUUCACUAUGUACUGCUAUGGUGGAAAAAGUUUGCAAGGUGCCUCACCCGGCUGAGCAAGUGGACUGUUGUUGAAGUUUUCAGAGCAGCCUUCAAUACCAAAGUGAACUUGUACACAAAGCAGCUCACCCUCAUUUUAAAAUGGUUCCUCUUUGAGGAGGAAGUGUAAAGACACAUUUUCAAAAACUGAUUACCGUGACUUUUAUAUGUGAGCAACUGAAGUUACUGUAUGUGUAACUUAUAGAAUUAUAGAAAGACAGGAGUCUUCCCACUGUAUCUCUUAAUUUUGAGUAGUUCAAGAUUUUAAAUGUCUAAUAGGGGAAUAAAUUUGGCUUACAGUUUAGCUCAAGGGUGUCUACAUGGAGAUUCAUAACACACAAGUAGGUUAUUGGAUAUCAUUUACUACUUAUGAAGCAAUAUUUGAUUAUUUUUAAAUAAUAUUAUUUGCAAGAUGAUUGUCAGAAAGUCCUUUGUGAGGUUGAAUUGCGACCUCUAAUAGCAGAAUAUUAAAAAUCACUUGUGGAACUUUUCCUACAUAUUUCCGGGUGAAAGUUCAGGCUUCGCACGUCUUUCGUUCCGUUGUUUGCUUGCUGCACGUUGUGGGAAUAGUUUGUCCUUUUCUCUUAUCACUUGAGCCAUUAAUGCUGUGCGUCCUUGCGGAAAAACCACAGCAACAAGAAUUAAAGUACUUUCAGAGUUCAGAUUGUGCUUGAAAUUAAUCUUUACCUCGAUAUUGGAAAGGGGAGUUUACAAACAAAGUUGUACCACCGUGGAGUUAAUAGCGGCACCUCCCGUGACCAGACAUCUGAUCGUGUCUACGGUCGUUUGGACUUUA